UACACGACCGUACCGCAAACCGACACUGGUGCGCGAGAUGAGUAUUCUAAGGCGCUUGAGAGAACUCAGGAGAAGGAACUCGGCAAAUUGACACCGUAACUUCGGAAGAAGGUGUGCCUUUAGUAGGUGAACCUGUACAAGGGGAGCCCAAUGAGGUUGCAAAAAAUCGGUGGCUGCGACUGUUUAAUAAAAACACAGCACUCUGCGAACACGAAAGUGGACGUAUAGGGUGUGACGCCUGCCCGGUGCUGGAAGAUUAAAUGAUGGGGUGCAAGCUCUUGAUUGAAGUCCCAGUAAACGGCGGCCGUAACAAUAACGGUCCUAAGGUAGCGAAAUUCCUUGUCGGGUAAGUUCCGACCUGCACGAAUGGCGUAACGAUGGCCACACUGUCUCCUCCUGAGACUCAGCGAAGUUGAAAUGUUUGUGAUGAUGCAAUCUCCCCGCGGAAAGACGGAAAGACCCCAUGAACCUUUACUGUAGCUUUGUAUUGGACUUUGAACAGAUCUGUGUAGGAUAGGUGGGAGGCUUUGAAGUGUGGUCGCUAGAUCGCAUGGAGCCAACGUUGAAAUACCACCCUGGUGUGUUUGAGGUUCUAACCUAGGCCCAUAAUCCGGGUCGGGGACAGUGCAUGGUAGGCAGUUUGACUGGGGCGGUCUCCUCCCAAAGCGUAACGGAGGAGUUCGAAGGUACGCUAGGUACGGUCGGACAUCGUGCUAAUAGUGCAAUGGCAUAAGCGUGCUUAACUGCGAGACUGACAAGUCGAGCAGAUGCGAAAGCAGGACAUAGUGAUCCGGUGGUUCUGUAUGGAAGGGCCAUCGCUCAACGGAUAAAAGGUACUCUGGGGAUAACAGGCUGAUACCGCCCAAGAGUUCAUAUCGACGGCGGUGUUUGGCACCUCGAUGUCGGCUCAUCUCAUCCUGGGGCUGUAGCCGGUCCCAAGGGUAUGGCUGUUCGCCAUUUAAAGAGGUACGUGAGCUGGGUUUAAAACGUCGUGAGACAGUUUGGUCCCUAUCUUCCGUGGGCGCUGCAGAUUUGAGGAAGCCUGCUCCUAGUACGAGAGGACCGGAGUGGACACACCUCUGGUGUAUCGGUUGUCACGCCAGUGGCAUUGCCGAGUAGCUAUGUGUGGAAGAGAUAACCGCAGAAAGCAUCUAAGCGGGAAACUCGUUUCAAGAUGAGAUCUGCCGGGGCCUUGAGCCCCCUAAAGAGUCGUUCAAGACCAGGACGUUGAUAGGUCGGGUGUGGAAGCGCAGUAAUGCGUUAAGCUAACCGAUACUAAUUGCUCGUGCGGCUUGACCU
rnacentral:rRNA from 1 species